GCCUACGGGAGGCAGCAGUGAGGAAUAUUGGCCAAUGGGCGAGAGCCUGAACCAGCCAAGUCGCGUGAGGGAGUACUGCCCUAUGGGUUGUAAACCUCUUUUGUCGGGGAGCAAAAGCCGGACGUGUCCGGCUGUGAGAGUACCCGAAGAAAAAGCAUCGGCUAACUCCGUGCCAGCAGCCGCGGUAAUACGGAGGAUGCGAGCGUUAUCCGGAUUUAUUGGGUUUAAAGGGUGCGCAGGCGGAUUUUUAAGUCAGCGGUCAAAUCGUGGGGCUCAACCCCACCCAGCGGUUGAAACUGGGGAUC
rnacentral:rRNA from 1 species